rnacentral:lncRNA from 1 species
UGACAGGAUACAGGUGCCUGUGCUGCGUUGCUUAAAAAAUAGCCCCUUUUUGGAAGUGUGCUGUUUAAAGAGGCCUUUUAUUAUUCAUUCCACAGGCGCAGUUAGCCGUUUCUGCAACACUCCAUUGUACAGUUGCCUUGCAGCCACCAGUGAGUCAAUGAUGCAAAUUCUUCCUGGGCAGGAAGCAAUAGAUUCUGAGAGCGACCCAAGCUGAGAGUGAAGGAGAUGCCGAUAGUCAAGGAGGUGCUGUGGGCCCCAGCCAAGAGGUAAGCCCAGGAACUCAGCUGCUUGAAGAGGAUGGUGUCUGCAGUCCCUGGGGCUGAUUCCUCUCUCUGCCCUGCAUUCCAAGACAUGGUUUGAUUUGCUGGCAUAACUUUCCCUCAGAAUUUUACCUCAGAGAAAAUUCAAC